rnacentral:hammerhead_ribozyme from 1 species
ACCUAGCUGACGAGUCCCAAAUAGGUCGAAACGCGCGUCGAACUAGAU